CGACAGUCUGAGAGAAGCUUGCCCGGGGGUCAACUACGCAGUAGUAGUAUACUGUUCAAUUGGCUAUUUCUUGUGGGCUGUCAGCCUCACGCAUAUGCCCACAAAGUCUGCCCUUCAGUAGAUGAUGAUGGACAUCACUUGACUAUUACCUGCCCUGGCGAAUGCUGUGGAGAGUUGCACUCCAGACAUUGUUGCAGUAAUUCAAGCAACCAUGUCGCAUGGACCAUUGGAGUCGCACUGGGAGUCGUCAUCCUGAUCCUUGUUGCUGCUGGGAUAGUGCAUUGCUGCCUGUUUUUAUCUCGAACACCAAAGAGAAGUCGGGGUCCGCCUGUAAGGAUCCACAACUUGGGACACGCUUACGCAGGUCCAGGGACAUCUGCCAUCUUCUUCUCACCACCGACAUGCACGGUACCACCUCCUCCGCCCUACAGUGUUUCAGCAGCUGGAACAUACACCUACACAGGAGCAGCAUCUCUGUCACAGACAACUUCAUCACCUCCGUCCUAUGAACCGUGCAUGACCACCGAUCAACCACAGGAGACACAUGUACAACUAUAUGUAAAGGAGUGAUGUUAUUAUGCUGCAGGACUGUUUUUAACAUGAUGGUGUAGACAUGGUGGAACGAUGCUCAAAAUGAAGACUAUUUAACGUGAUGAAUUGUUUACAACAAAUACCUUUUGUAUAUUCAUCAUGUUUGUAGGAGACGGAAGAUGUUUCGUGCACAACCGGAGAUACUGCAUAUCAAGUGAUCAAUUUGUUACGUAAGGAAAAUUAUUUUCUUAGUAUUUCCUGGAACAACUGUUUUUUCAAUUAUCAAACAUCACAAUAUCAAAUGGUCGUUCCCUCGGGAACUUAGCUAGAUCAAUGGUGGCAAACUGGCUCACAAUGAGAGAAAACACCUGGAAAUAUUGUGAAUCAUUAAAGAACAUGGAGUUAUAAGGAA
rnacentral:misc_RNA from 1 species